UGGGGAAUAUUGGACAAUGGGGGCAACCCUGAUCCAGCCAUGCCGCGUGUGUGAAGAAGGCCUUUUGGUUGUAAAGCACUUUAAGCAGGGAGGAGAGGCUAAUGGUUAAUACCCAUUAGAUUAGACGUUACCUGCAGAAUAAGCACCGGCUAACUCUGUGCCAGCAGCCGCGGUAAUACAGAGGGUGCGAGCGUUAAUCGGAAUUACUGGGCGUAAAGCGAGUGUAGGUGGCUCAUUAAGUCACAUGUGAAAUCCCCGGGCUUAACCUGGGAACUGCAUGUGAUACUGGUGGUGCUAGAAUAUGUGAGAGGGAAGUAGAACUCCAGGUGUAGCGGUGAAAUGCGUAGAGAUCUGGAGGAAUACCGAUGGCGAAGGCAGCUUCCUGGCAUAAUAUUGACACUGAGAUUCGAAAGCGUGGGUAGCAAACAGGAUUAGAUACCCUGGUAGUCCACGCCGUAAACGAUGUCUACUAGCCGUUGGGGUCCUUGAGACUUUAGUGGCGCAGUUAACGCGAUAAGUAGACCGCCUGGGGAGUACGGCCGCAAGGUUAAAACUCAAAUGAAUUGACGGGGUCAUAGCUGUUUCCU
rnacentral:rRNA from 1 species